GAUGAAGAACGUAGCGAAAUGCGAUAAGUAAUGUGAAUUGCAGAAUUCAGUGAAUCAUCGAAUCUUUGAACGCACCUUGCGCUCCUUGGUAUUCCGAGGAGCAUGCCUGUUUGAGUGUCAUUAAUAUAUCAACCUUCUCUUUUUUGAGUUGUUUGGAUGUGGGGGUUUGCUGGCCUCUUAAAUGAUUCAGCUCCCCUGAAAUGCAUUAGCAGAACAACCUGUUCAUUAGCGUGAUAAUUAUCUAUGCUAUUGAAUGUGAGGGCAGUUCAGCUUUCUAACCGUCCUUGGACAAUUCAUCAUUAAUGUGACCUCAAAUCAGGUAGGACUACCCGCUGAACUUAAGCAUAUCAAUAAGCGGAGA
rnacentral:misc_RNA from 1 species